UACGAAGGGAGCUAGCGUUGUUCGGAAUUACUGGGCGUAAAGCGCACGUAGGCGGAUUGCUAAGUCAGGGGUGAAAUCCCGGGGCUCAACCUCGGAACUGCCUUUGAUACUGACAAUCUCGAGUCCGAUAGAGGUGGGUGGAAUUCCUAGUGUAGAGGUGAAAUUCGUAGAUAUUAGGAAGAACACCGGUGGCGAAGGCGGCCCACUGGAUCGGUACUGACGCUGAGGUGCGAAAGCGUGGGGAGCAGACAGG
rnacentral:rRNA from 1 species